rnacentral:rRNA from 1 species
GACGAACGCUGGCGGCGUGCCUAACACAUGCAAGUCGAGCGGAGAUAAUUAAAAGCUUGCUUUUGAUUAUCUUAGCGGCGGACGGGUGAGUAACGCGUGGGCAACCUGCCUGUUACAGGGGGAUAACACAGGGAAACUUGUGCUAAUACCGCAUAACACAACGAGGUAGCAUUACCUUGUUGUCAAAGGAGCAAUCCGGUAAUAGAUGGGCCCGCGUCCAAUUAGCUAGUUGGAGGUGUAACGGACCACCAAGGCGACGAUUGGUAGCCGAACUGAGAGGUUGAUCGGCCACAUUGGGACUGAGACACGGCCCAGACUCCUACGGGAGGCAGCAGUGGGGAAUAUUGCACAAUGGGGGAAACCCUGAUGCAGCAACGCCGCGUGAAGGAUGAAGGUUUUCGGAUUGUAAACUUCUUUAGUCAGGGACGAAAAAAAUGACGGUACCUGAAGAAUAAGCCACGGCUAACUACGUGCCAGCCGCCGCCGUAA